rnacentral:rRNA from 1 species
UACGUAGGUGGCAAGCGUUGUCCGGAUUUACUGGGCGUAAAGAGCGCGCAGGCGGUCGUUCAAGUCGCGUGUGAAAGCCCCCGGCUCAACUGGGGAGGGUCACGCGAUACUGAUCGACUCGAAGGCAGGAGAGGGUAGUGGAAUUCCCGGUGUAGUGGUGAAAUGCGCAGAUAUCAGGAGGAACACCUAUUGCGAAGGCAGCUCGCUGGGACGUAACUGACGCUGAGACGCGAAAGCGUGGGGAGCAAACAGG